AUACGAAUAAAUCAAAUGGUAAAGUUAUUACUAUUAAACAGAUUUGGGUUCCAAAAGGAACCAUAUGCACUAACCCUCAAGGACCUAAGCAAGCUUGGGUAUCCAAAAUGAAAAUAUGAGGGUGUAGAUGUAGGUGUGCCAAGCUACCCAUGGAACAAAUGAAACUUUCAUACAAAUAGGUGCGUUGACACAUAAUUAAAGAUAAGUCUCAAUUUAUUCAUUAAAUCUAGUAUAAGGUUUAACAUUCUACAUCGUGUAUCGAAAUUAUCUUUUUAUGAAAUUACAAUACUCUCUGCAUCAAAAUUUUUAAAUGCCUCAUAUGUUAAAUCUUAUCUCAACGAUUUUAGCAUGAAACUUUCUAGUGCUUGCAUCAUGAUAAGAAAACAAUGAAUGGAUAUAUAUAUAUAACCUUCUUCUUCAAGUUUACAAAAUCUAAAUUUUCUCUCUA
rnacentral:lncRNA from 1 species